GGCGGGGGGAGCUUGUAGGCAGGCUGAGAGGAAGUCAUUAACUUCGACCCUGAAACCUGAUUUGGGUAAUGCCAACGUAGGGAGUCUGAAAAAGUU
rnacentral:ncRNA from 1 species